AAGUCCAGAUGGAAUGCAACACUGACUACUUACAAAUCACCAGUCACUAGAUUUCAAGGAAACAGAGAGCUCAAUCUCUUGGAAAAUUUAGAUCUAAAUGUGGCCCUCAGAAAAAUUAGCUUAACCAUCCCAUAAUGAGCUUUUUCUGUAUCUUCACAGAAAGUCUAACCUGUUUACUAACACUGAACUCCACACUGUAGCAGUUCAGCUUCUGGUAGGCCUGCAUGUGAAAAGUGGGACAUGGCUGCUCACAGGUGUAAGGCCUUGGAACUGGAUUAGAUUCCAAAAUCACAGAAUCACAGAAUAUUCUGAGUUGAAAGGGGUCCAUAAAGAUCAUGGAGUUCAACUCCUGGCCCUGCACAGCACUAUCUCCAAGAAUCACACCAUGUGCCUGAGAGCAUUGUAUAAACACUUCUUGAACUCUGUCAAGUUUGUUGAUGUGACCACUUCCCUGCAGAGCCUGUUCCAGUGACCAGACACCCUCUGGAUGAAGAAUCUUUUUCUAAUAUCCAUUCUAGACCUCUCCUGACACAACUUGUGGUGCCCAUAACUGCCCCCAGCAUUCAAGGGUGGUUUUGUGCUGAGAAUUGAAUGAAAACAGAAACUGCAGUCAUGGAUGAAGAAAGCAAAAUGUUGACCUGAGAAACUUCAGAUUAUCUCUCUCCUCAGGCUUUGGAAAGAUGAUGGAGCAUGGCUGUUUACAGUCCAUGCACAUAAAGUUACUUGCUUCUUCCAAGCACAAAUUAUACUCAAUCAGCAUAGUCACCAUCUCCUAUUGGCUAAGUGGAAAAAGAAUAGACAAACAGAAAAUAUUUCUCCCUGAGAGAAUAAUACAACACUCAAGUUGUCCAGGAGGAUUCUGCCUCUCUGCCCUUGGAGAGGGCAUGAUGCAGAUGAAUGAAGCCAUACUGAACUAACCUGUGGUAGUUCUAGAUUUAGCGGCAGAUUGGAUCCUCCUUAUGUAACUUUCAACCUGCAUUUCUUUAAUAUUGUAAAUCUGUGAAAGUAUGCUAACAGUUGCUUUCUUUAAUAGAAAAAUUUAAAAUCCUUGUUACAAAGAAAGGCAUAGUCUCUCAUAUUAAAACUAGACAUGUUCUAGCAAGGGCAUUUGUGGAAGCAUUUUGCUCUCCUCUGUCUGGGAUAUAGAGUUCUGGUCAAUGGCACCAUUUCAGCAUCUAACCGUUUCUGUUUGGCUACCAAUUUUUAGAUUUUCAUUGCCCUUUUUAAUUAUUUAUCUACAUUAGCUGAUCCUUAAGGAAGUUUCUCCUGCUUGCUAUGUCUCUUUUGGUUUUUAUAGCAUCAGACUAUCCUUGUAUAAAAUUUCAUAGAAAAUAACCUUUUUUGGGCAAGUUUGUAUCCUGCCAAGAACUGCAAAAUGGUCAGUUACACAUCAUAGCGCCAAGAAAAACUUGUUUUGGAAGAUUUUAAACACUUUCUACUUGUGGUCAGAUUUUCCAUUCUCACUGACUAUUCCCCUUCAGGGAUUCUCCUAUUUAAUUUGUUAUAAAUCAAGAAAUAAGUUUCUUUCAUUGCCACAAUAACUGAACGAUUAUAAGUCUAGUCUAUAGGCUACCUAAUCUAUGGAGAUUUAUGAAGAGGUGAUGUUCAACAGCUUUGUAGUUACAUUUUGUGCAUUAACCACUUUAUUUAAUUAUUUCUAAAAAUAUUUUGAAACCUUCAUGUGAAUGAACAAUGAAGCAAGUUUAAGAAAAACAUAAAAACAGCUUUAAAGAACACAUCACAGGUUAUGAAAGUUGUAUGUGUUAAUUAAGUAGCUUUUAUUGGUGGGUUUCUGCAUAGAGUACUGCAGAAAAUAUAUUGCUUUCACAUUUUCAUGUGAGGAUUAACUGUUUAGAGAAUAUCUGCCUCUUUUACCCAAAAGAUCUGUGUCUUUGGUGAGUUGUUGUUUAACUUACCUGGUAUUUUGAAAGUCUCCAGAUUCAAAAUUAAUUGUGUCCUGAAAACAUCUUUCAGAGAUGUCUUUUUAGGUGUUUCUAAGAGAAAAUAGAAAACAGCAAGGUGUCAUCUUUUUUAAUUAAACAUGCUUUUUGUAUGUAUAACUGAGAUAAAAAUGGAAUGCAUGCCUACUAUUUCUCCUCUUCUUACUAGUAUUUUACACUAACCUUGGCAUUACAGGAAAUAAUAUUAAUACAGAUUUUAAAAGCCAACUGAACAGAACAGAAUUUCUAAUUGGAUUUUCAUUAAAGAAAGCAAAAUAAAAUCAUAUUACAAGAUAAGCUAAAAAUUACUUCAGCUGAUCUUUGAAUCCAUUGCUGAUCCAAGAUAAAAAGUGCUAGGGAAUGGGGGAGGGCAAUGGAUUAGUGACUUAAAAGACCCAUGCAGAACAGUGUGUGUUGAGCUUUGUGUUGACUGAGCUGGGAUUAUUAUUAAAGCAUAGUUUCUGAGCAGGUUUUGUGACAAUGGAAGUGAAAUUGUCAAGAAUUAGUAUCAAUAGAUGAGAGACACUAAGCUAAUUUCAUAACUGUCUGACAAUGAGAUAUUAGAUACAGAUGGUGUAAGUAGUUCGAAGUUUGUGUUCUUAGAGAUCAUAUUUGGAACAAAUUUGGGUUUUCCGUUCAUUUCAACGUAGUUACAUUCUUUAUUAUUUUAUUGCUUAACUUUUUUAUCAUUGUGUGUUUCCUGCUUGUUUAGACUGCUGUUAGUAUUGCAAUGUUAAAAUGUUGCACUGUAAAAAAAUUUUUAGUAACUUGUUAGGCAUCUUAUUUUGUACUAUAGUUUGGAUCCCUCUCACUGUAGUUUUCAAUAUUUUUUUUAAUUCUACUUUUUUUUAUCUUUUUGGCAAACUUCUCAUUUUGAAUUUUAGGAGACUGGAUAUUGCCCAAGUAAUAAAGUAAGAUAUUUUAGAUACUCUUUUUCACUAUUUAUUAAUAUUUCUAAGAGCUGUUGAGGAAUAUAAAGAUGUAACUUUCAGCUUUAAUAAACUUGAUGUGAAAUUUCAGAUGCUAAAUCUUUUAACAGAUUGAUAAAAAUAAGACAUUUUUCAUACAUUAAAGUAUGAUUAAGCAUUUUCAAUUAAAGAAAUUACUAGGUAUUUUUCAGCUGUUGAGUGAGGUUUAUUUAAAUACCCUAUCUAUUUACCACCAAAAGUCAUAUUCUUGCAAAUAUGCAGAAUUUUUUUCUUUUUAGAUUUGUCAAAAUGCAUACCUAAAUUAGAUACUUUGAUAGAAAUCAAUUAAAUUUUCUUUAGCCUUCAGAUUUCUGGGGCUUUGUUUGUUUGUCUGUCUUAUUGAUUAUUUUGUUUAUUUUAAAAUAGUUUUUUCUUGUUGUGAAGUUUUGGAUGUUUUCUUCUAUACAUUUUACAGCAGAGAUUCUGGGUAGGCUAUUAUUGAAGUGUUUUGACCUGUGAGUCUUUUAAAUUUUUGGCUUUAAGCCACUGGAGCCCAGAGGAUUUCUACUAGAAAGAGCAUACUUCUCUACUCAUUGUGAAAAUCUCUCAAUUUCCUCAGGCGUUCAUAUGUUUUGUUCAGAUUGCUGUUCUCUGUUCAAUGAACUUUUCUUGCUUAAAUAAACUGAAGUUUUUUCUUAUUCAA